rnacentral:rRNA from 1 species
GAUGAACGCUGGCGGCAGGCUUAACACAUGCAAGUCGAACGGGUAGUGGUGUCUUGCGUCGCGAUCGGGCGAGUAACGCGUGAGUACUUCCCAUUGGUCUGCGAGCUACUGCUGGAUACGGUCCCUAAUCCGCCGCAGAUUCCGCAGCCAACCUGAGAAUCCGCGUGAGGGGUCUCCGGCCCUUGCUCUGCCAGUUGAUCAUAGAUCGGAUUAGCUAGUUGGUGGGGUAAAGGCUUACCGAGACGAAGAUCCGUAACUGGUCUGAGGGGAGGAUAAGUCACAGUGGAAGUGAGACACGGUCCAGACUCCGACGGGAGGCAGCAGUGGGGAAUAUUGGACAGUGGGCGAAAGCCUGAUCCAGCCAUGCGGCGUGUGUGAAGAAGGUCUUCGGAUGGGAAAGCACUUUAAGUUGGGAGGAAGGGCAGUAAGUUAAGAACUUGCUGUUUUGACGUUACCAACAGAAUAAGCACCGGCUAACUUCGUG